rnacentral:rRNA from 1 species
UCCGGUGGUCAUGGCGGAGGGGAAACACCCGGUCUCAUUCCGAACCCGGUAGUUAAGCCCUCCAGCGCCGAUGGUACUGCACGGGAGACCGUGUGGGAGAGUAGGACACCGCCGGAA